GCAAAACAGUCCGUUAUAUCCUAAGUCCGUUAUAUCCAGAGUAUCUGUUUGCCCAGAACACAACUACAGGACACUAUUUAGUCAUACCGCACCCCAGCAGACACACUUGUGGUAUAGAUUAUUAUAUUGUACGUGUAGUAAUCCGACUUUACCUGACUGUUAAUAAUCCCAACUACGUAUCUGCGCUGGAUAUCACCGGCACGCCACGCACCUUGUAGGCGGAGACUGCAUGUCCGUUAUAGCGAACAUAAUUACAGCUAAAAGCGGCCCUGGGGGGCAAAUUAUUUGUCCGUUAUAAGCAAAAUUCUGUUAUAUGCGAGUUCGCUAUAUCCGAUGCUUUUUCUGAAUGUUCUUAAAGGCGCACAGUCGGGACCAGCAGACUUCGUCCAUUAUAAACGAUGUUCUGUUAUAAGCGAGUCCACUAUAACGGGAUUUUACUUUAUAUGCAUACUUUUGCUAUUUUGUCUUUGUGUUUUUAGGCGAAAACAUGUGAUGUAGCCCUUGAUGAUAUCAGUUGAAAUUACUGUUGUAUUAUUAUGGAUCAUUGUGUAAUGUAGGUAGGCAGUUUAAACGUGGAGCUUCCAGAUAAUCGCCCAUGUGUGUACUGGUUGCAGUACUGCUGUGGCUAUCUAUACCUGCAUAUAGGUGACAGAGUGUGUAGGAUCUUAUCUGCUGUCUAGACGAACCUAUCAGGUUGGUCAGGUUCUUAUGGGACAAAUGCUAUGGUUGGCCGCAUCGCAUCCGCGAUUGUCCGCAGUUUCGGUCGACUUCGCUCGCCAUCUGAAUUAAAUAGAUUUCACCGGGUAGUGAAAACAGCUGCCAUUUCGCUUAAAACUUGACUUAACUGCCUCUGUCAUACUCAAGCUAGGUGAAAGUUUUAAUGAAAGAUAAACUCUCCAGCCGUUGAUUUAAAAAAAAGGAAGAAUGACGUUCUUCAAAAAAUAAUAGAAAAUCCAAUUUACUACGUAGAUUGACAAGACAGAGGUCCCAGCUGAAGGAGAUGUCAUGAGCCAGUACAGGUCACACCCAUGGGAUAAAUCUCAUGGACUUUUUGAGGCAACAGAAAGUGAGUCUACAAGUUGAGUCGGUGAAUUCCUGGAUUAGUAGGAGUCCAGGCCAGUCAAGAGACUGUGAAGAGCUGUUGUGGAGGAGCUGGAAAGCAGUCAGCGGCCAGGGAAGAGGGUAUUCUGUAAAUGAGAGGGAAAGAUCCGCUGGGACUGCAGAACGCUUCUCUUACAGACCUUGUGGAGUGGGAAGCUGACGCCCCAUUGGUUUACCCCUCCCCCGUGCUUGCUCUGAUUCGCCAUCGCGCUCCCCAGGGCUUGUUCUUCCGCCAAUAACGGGAGCCAGAGGGGAAGCCAUGUCACCUGUCUCCUUAUUUAACCUCCAGCAAGACAGCUUAGAAAACAACAGGGUCCUUU